GAUGAACGCUGGCGGCGUGCCUAAUACAUGCAAGUCGAGCGAACAGACGAGGAGCUUGCUCCUCUGACGUUAGCGGCGGACGGGUGAGUAACACGUGGAUAACCUACCUAUAAGACUGGGAUAACUUCGGGAAACCGGAGCUAAUACCGGAUAAUAUAUUGAACCGCAUGGUUCAAUAGUGAAAGACGGUUUUGCUGUCACUUAUAGAUGGAUCCGCGCCGCAUUAGCUAGUUGGUAAGGUAACGGCUUACCAAGGCAACGAUGCGUAGCCGACCUGAGAGGGUGGUCGGCCACACCGGAACUGAGACACGGUCCAGACUCCUACGGGAGGCAGCAGUAGGGAAUCUUCCGCCAUUGGCGAAAGCUUGACGGAGCAACGCCGCGUUAGUGAUGAAGGUCUUCGGAUCGUAAAACUCUGUUAUUAGGGAAGAACAAAUGUGUAAGUAACUAUGCACGUCUUGACGGUACCUAAUCAGAAAGCCACGGCUAACUACGUG
rnacentral:rRNA from 1 species